CUGGGAGAGGAGUGUGUCUUCCUCCAUCUUUCCCUACAAGGAGCACCUGAGGAUGUCGUGGUGGUGAAGAUGCUAUUGGCAACGUGGGGACUAUGACACAUAGGGAGCUCCAUCCUUUCGGGUGAGCGCCCCUCAUUCUGACGAAGAGAAGCCAAAAGCCAAGCAGACAGACCUGCAGUUCCAGUGGGAACCGUACCCAAAAGAAGCCCAUGGACCUGACACUCUGCGAUAUGUGAACAGACCCCACUGUGCUCCUUGCCCAAAAUCAUUUCAGACCACAGAUGGUGCCACAAGCAGUCACUUGGCAAACUUGUGAAGUGAUUGAGGAUCUGUUCCAGCUAAUUUUGGAGUCUUGUUAAGACACAAGUGUGUUCUAACCAACUAGGAGGAGCAAAACCCAUUUCUCCUGGUACUCUGCAUCCAUCACGUGCAGUUUUGGUGGUGUCCACCCCCUGGACCGAAGGAUGAGCCCACAACUAUGGCAGCACCUUUUGCCCAUGGGACCACAGAAGGGAGUAGCUGUGCUGGACUUUGCUUGGCUUUUUCUUGGCGAGGAAGUGACCACAUCUCAAUUCUGGUGUUUCCACUA